AUGAACGCUGGCGGCGUGCUUAACACAUGCAAGUCGAACGAAGCACCUCUAAUCGAAGAUUGAGAAAGCUUGCUUUUGAUUGAUUCACCUUGAGGUGACUGAGUGGCGGACGGGUGAGUAACGCGUGGGUAACCUACCCUAUACAGGGGGAUAACAGUUGGAAACGACUGCUAAUACCGCAUAAGCGCACAGGACCGCAUGGUCUAGUGUGAAAAACUCCGGUGGUAUAGGAUGGACCCGCGUCUGAUUAGCUAGUUGGUGAGGUAACGGCUCACCAAGGCGACGAUCAGUAGCCGACCUGAGAGGGUGACCGGCCACAUUGGGACUGAGACACGGCCCAAACUCCUACGGGAGGCAGCAGUGGGGAAUAUUGCACAAUGGGCGAAAGCCUGAUGCAGCGACGCCGCGUGAACGAAGAAGUAUUUCGGUAUGUAAAGUUCUAUCAGCAGGGAAGAAAAAUGACGGUACCUGACUAAGAAGCUCCGGCUAAAUACGUGCCAGCAGCCGC
rnacentral:rRNA from 1 species